rnacentral:lncRNA from 1 species
UUAAAGUGAAUGGAAGCUGUGCACCAGAUAGGAAACCGAAAAAGAAGUGAGUCCAUCGGACUGCUUAAGUACCAAGCUCCCUUCGGAUCCAAUCCUAGAAAUGCAUACCGACAUUGCCACACCUUAAUGUCAUGAAUAUUUCUAGGAAACCGAUUUUGAUUAAGUCAUUUUUAGAAAAAGUUAAUAAUUUUGGAAAAUACUUUCAUUGCGGAAGCUUUGCUUGUUGUCGUAUUAUUUUAAAAUCAAUUGUAUUUUUUGAAAACGCUCCCUAAAGCUAUCCAAUUUCAACAGUUAAAAUAAGUAAUACCUAUCUUAGUAAUACAUAUUAAAACUAUCAAAAAUAAUUAAGCGACCUUAUUACAUUUAAAAAACCCAAAACUUCAAACGUAAAUAAAAGGAUGUCCAGUUCACCAGAAGAAAACCAAACUUUCAGAACGGGUGGCCACUUCGAAUUCCCUCACAGCUUCAAGCCCACUAUAGUUAAGGAUUUCCUGCGUGGAUGAAAAUAAAAGGGGUGAGUUUAAGAAAACUCAGUGUGUAAAGAAAACCUAUUCAAAGCCCAAGUCAGCUCAAGCCUAUUGGGCCUAAGCCCAUUUAGGUAACAGUGGUACUGGACCAGAGCCCUUUUCAGAUUACAAUAAACUGGGCCUUAGCCCCUUAUUCAGAUAACAGUAUGGCCCAUAGGCCCAUUUCAAAAUACAUGUAACAUCAAUAACAUAUGCAAGCCCAUUUGGGGAGACUACUCAACCCACCAACCACUACACUCCACCCGUACCAGCCAUACACUCCAUGUGGGGAAUAGCUCAACCCACCUAACCCAACACUCCACAGUUGCAGCCUUGCUGCUCAGUUAGCAGUAAAUUGAGGCAAAGCCUCCAGUACGUGGACAAGCCACUUUCAGUACUUCCUCCGUCAAUAUCUCAAUCCCAUGCAUCAGAUAAUAACAUGGCAUGCAGUAAAUAACAACAGCCAAACAUGCAUUUAGGUCAAUUUAACCCUAGGGGUAUUUCGGUAAUUUAUCUACUAGGGGUAAAACUGUAAAUUUUCCAUUUUUAAAGGUAUUUUAGUAAUUUAUCUAUUUUAGAGUUUUUCAUGCAUAUUCCUACUUUUCACGUACUAACAGAAUCACGUACCGAGUGUUCUUACCGAAUUGGGCCUGUUGGCCCAUCAUUUCAAUUUUGGCCCAUUAAGCCCAGAAAUAUCGAGGGCACAGAAAUAAUACAUUUCACAGUCCAAAUUUUGUAGCUUACCAAAAACAUUAAUCGAUUUACCUCACGAGCAUUUGCAUACUCGUAAAUUUACAAAAUACUAGUUUUCAGCAUUUUGAUUUGUCAACUUUUGUCGAUCCAGACUAAGAAAGAGGGUGUUAGUUACAUACUUGUUUGCGACGAUAUGCUGAUGAGAUCUACACACGAACCGCCUACAAUUGGAUUACUAACACGUUAAUCUAACUAUUCAAAUACAAACUACGUAUUAACCCCUUACAAUAUUCGGCCAACCACACCUACAGAUCAUAGUAAGCUUAUAAGAAAUCAAUAAGCAACUCAUUAACAAAUUUUUGUCAAUGUUAACCACAUAAUCAUAAUUUCACUGCAAGCUGUCUUCUUGAGAAAUAGUCACUAAAUCAUUUAUAACUGGUGCUACAAAACUCCAAAUCAAGUGCCGUUAAUUUUCCCUGAAAAUACUCAUAUAUCUUAUAUCCAUAAAAUUUUCAGAAUUUUUGGUUUGAUCAAUCAAUACCAGAUAUUUCUCAAAGUUUCGCAUGUUUCACUGUUUGACUAAUCUGACCACUCUUCAUUACGAAUCAAAUUUUUCAUUGUACAGAAUUCAAAAUAUGUUCUCGUUUAUUUCAUUUGAAACUAGAUGCAAUAAGCUUUAAUUACAUAAUUUAUUCAGCUUCUAAUUCAUCUCCCACAAUUUAUGGUGAUUUUCCAAAGUCACGUUACUGCUACUGUCCCAAGCAGAUUUAUUACCAAAUUCACUCUUUCACACAUAACAUGUAUAUCACCAAUCAAUCAUCACAUAUCUAUGAUUUUACUUAAGUAUAAUCUCAAUUUCAUCAUUUUAAAGCACAUGUUAGCCGAUAUUUCCCCUUAGCAUCUAAGGCACAUACAUGCUCAUUUGUUUGGCUCAACUUCACCUAUCUUUCAUUUUUUAUCAAAAGAACAUGAAACAACAACCAUUUCCUUCGUUUUAAUUCAUGACUAAAUGCUCACAAUACAACUAAAAACUAAAAUAUGCUUCAAGAGUUAAGGUAGAAUCAAGAACUCAUGAACCUCAAAAUAAAAAUAAACUACCAUGAACUUACCUUCAAUUUUUCUUCCCCAAGUGACCGAACAUUCAAGAGCUUUCUCUUCUCCUUUCUCUUCUCCAACUUUAGGCUAUAAUGAACAAAGAUGGACAAAACUUUAUUCUUUUCACCCCUUUUUCUUUUAAUAAAAUUUAAUAUUUCAUUUAUUUAAUUCUUUAAUACAAAAGAUAUGAAAUUUCCAUCAUGAAAUAUUUAUUUAACCCAUUAUCAUGAAACAUUUACCUAACCCAUUAUCAUGGAACAUUUACCUAACCCAUUAUCAAUUUGUACCAUGAAUUAUAGAUAUCAAGUGUUCAUAUUGUCUACAACAACAUGAUGGCUGACUACUUCAUAUAAAAUGAGAGGUUUGUCAUGCAAAUCCUUCUAUUUUACACUAUUAUUUAUUUGGCCACUUCAAUUUAGCCUAUAGCAUUUUCAAACAUUUUUACAUAGGUCCUAUUUCAUAAUUUCACUCACAAAUGACAAAAUUAAAACAUAAAAUUUUGUCAACAUUCACAGAAUUCCCGAAAAUUGAAACGUUAAAGCAAACGAAAGAAAAAAUCUUUUCAAAAUCUUAAAGAUAGGAUCUAUUCGAGAAUUGAAGGACGGAGCUCCAGGUUACUAUCACAAGAAAGAAAGGAGGUCUUCAUUAAAUCAAUGCUUCAGGCAAUACCAACCUACGCUAUGUCAUUUUCUCUUUUACUGAAAUCAUUAUGUGAGGAGUUAGAAAAUAUUUUUUGCUAAAUUUUGGUGGCAAAAUGGCUAUGGAAAAAAAAAUACAUUGGUGUCAGUGGAAGCAUGUGUCAUCCUAAAGAAGAGGGAGGGAUAGGUUUCAGAAGUAUAAAUCAAUUUAAUAUAUCAUUAUUAGCAAAGCAAGAUGGAGGAUUUUAAAUACCCCAAACUCUUUAGUUGCGUAAGUACUUAAAGCGAAAUAAUUUCCGAAUGAGGAUUUUUUGAAUUCGCGUUUGGGAAACAAUAGUUCUUAUAUAUGGAAAAGUAUAUGGGCGACAAAGGGCAUCUUGGCAGAAGGACUUUGCUGGAAGGUGGGUAAGGGCACGAAUAUUUCAGUUAUUAAUGAUGCUUGGAUUCCAGAUGCAAGAAAUUUCAGAUUAUCGUCGUUUGCUCAUAAUAUGUGAAAUUAUAAAGUUGCUGAGCUAAUUGAUAAUAAUGACAGAAAAUGGAAGCGGGAGUUGAUUGUCAAUACCUUUCCGGAGGAAGAAGCUGAAAAGAUCUUUCGUAUUCCUUUGGAGAAAGAACCUCAUGACGAUUUUUUGGUCUAGAGCGGUGAACCUUCAGGAGAAUACUCGGUUCGAACACCUAUAAACUAUUACAAAUUUCUGAAGAUCCUAGAGCUUAUGCUUUGCAAACCGACUACAGGAAGUUUUACAAAAAAACUCUAGCUCCUAAAUCUACCUUCAAAAAUUAAGAUUAGCGUCUGGAAAAUAUCAUGGAAUUAUUUGCCUACACGGGUUAACGUGCAGCAAAGGAGGCUAACAAAUAUUGUAAUUUGUCCUCGGUGUGGAAAAUGGGCAGAAACUAUGGAUCACCUUUUUCGCGAAUGUCCUGUUUUAGUGUAAGUUUGGACAGAAUUAUCAAUCCCGAAUUUUUUACAGGAAUCUAAUUUGGAGUUUCUACAGUGGCUCACCUGGGUUUUUACUCAGAACACUCCCUCUCAAUGUAGAAUAUUUUUUUGUGCGCUAUGGGCCAUUUAGGGAGAAAGGAACGCUAGAAUGCAUGAGAAGGUAAGCAGAACUGGGAAAGAAAUAGCUAGCUUUGUCAAUAGUUAUAUUACAAAACUAAAUGGGGUUGAAUAAAGAACCCCCAAAAUUUCGCAGGAAGUUAGAAAAUGGAAUUACCCACCUGGUCAGUAAAUAAAAUCAACUUUGAUGGAGCAUACGAUGGGCAACAUUUUCAAUUGGUUUCGGAGAUUGUGGCUAGAAAUAGCGAAGGGAAUGUUCUUCUAUCUUGUUCAGAAAUUCAUCAAGAAGUGGCCUCCGCCUUCACUCUGAAGCACUCGCUUGUCGCGAAGUAGCCCAAAUGGGAAUAUACAUGCGAUGGCCAAAGAUUGUUAUAGAAGGCGACUCAUUAUCAAUAAUGAAAAAGUGCAAGGCAGAAAAACAAGAUAAAUUGUAGGUAGGAGCAUAUAUACAUGAUAUUCAACAAAUAACAUCUAGAUCUAGAAACUUAGUGUUUGAAUAUAUUCCAAGAUCAGCAAAUGGUUUAGCACAUAUACUAGCAACUGAAUCGUUAAAAAAGGAGGAGGUGUACUUGUUAGAAAGCAUCCCUGGAUAUGCUAAAAACCAGAAAGAAUUUGAUAGAGUGCGAGAACCAGAUUGAAAACGGAUAGAGAAAAAAAGGAAGGAAGGAAAGUUUCAAAUGAGCAGAUCAAUGGUUUUGGUGAUAAAAGCUUUCGUUGGAAAACUUUAACCGUCUUUAAGAAGAAAUGGGAGAUUGAUAGACAAGACGGGCAUCAGUGUUCUUUGAUUGGGCAAAGUUGCGGUGAUAAUUAUGAGCUUCUAGACUAUUCUUAUUUUAUUUUCUUUUUAGAAAUUCUUUUUAAUUCGGGCCAUUUUUUAAUGUUGGGCCUUCUCUUCUGUUUUAGUUCUAUU